rnacentral:tRNA from 1 species
AGGAUAGCUCAGUUGGUAGAGCAGAGGACUGAAAAUCCUCGUGUC